UUGCCGGGCGGUGGUAUUAAUAAUGUUAGUUGUAGUUUACCCAAAUUUAAGCAAACUGUUCAUUAUUUUGUCUUACAUAAAAAAAAUUAUUUAUUUUGACUGCUUAGCUUGAAAAGCUAUCCCUUCUGGCUGCAAAAACUCUACCUCAAUACCAGCAGCAAAAAACAAAAAACCAAGCUUAUCUCAAAAAUUAAAUAUCAAAAUAAAAAAGAAAAUUCAACCUUAUCAAACGGGGAAGUCAUGUGCUUGUAUCCCCCACCCCAACCCAGGCCACCAUCACAGACUAUAUAAGCAGGUAGCGAAGCAAGUCCAUGAAAUCAAAAACUCUCCUACAUGCAUACAAAAUUAUUGUUACUUAGGAAGGCUUCCAGCUAAACUGAAAUGGGAGUUGAGUCCUGCAAAAACUUUUAGGAAUGGGUGGGUUGGUUGUGCAGAGUAUGUAGGAGGUGAAGCCAUGCAUGAUUUGGAUGGCGUUACUAUCUAGGAAGAUCGGAGUACGUGACAAGAACGCAUAGUGUAUCAGUCUAACGCGUAGAGAAUAUCAACCGACACCUAUAACGGAUACAACACCUGGAAUCAAUAGAAACUAUAUAGACUUUCCCAUUGGUUGAGGCACAUUAAUUGUAGCCUAUAAAUAGUCGAACCUUAUUACUUAUAACACAUUCUGAUUCUCAAAGAAUACAAUACAUUCUCGUCA